UGAAGGACACUAGAAUUUUAGCUAACUCUUAAAUGGUAAGAUAUAGAGAAGUGACAUGGAAACAUUCUAGCUCUGAAAAAUCACAUGAGCAACACUGAAACCAUACAAAUGGUUGCGAACAAUUACCAAAAGGAAAAUUGAUACCAUUCCUUCAUAUUUGCAAUGACCACAUGACCAAUACAACAAAAAAUUCUGUUCACAAGAGCCAUAAAUUUUUUUAAAUUACAAAACACUUAGAAAUAAAUUUCUCAAGAAAUGUGGAAGAUCUAGAGGAUAAUGCUCUGAAAUGUUUCUGUAAGGCCGACUGAAUAAAUAAAGCAAGAAGGCCAUUCCUCUAUGACAUGACUCAAUACCAAUACUGCUGAUCAUUUCUCUUAAUUAAUACAUUCAGUAGAAAUUCAGUAACCUAUCCUAAUGCUUUUAGAACUCUUCAAAACCUGACAAGUUGAUGCUAAAAGACAUGUAAAAGAAAAAUACAACUUGAAUAGCAAAGAAUUUUAACAAAAGAAGAGAUACUUCCUUGAUAUAAAUAAAACUAUAGAAAAUUAAACAGCAGGAGUAAAGAUACCAGAAAUGAUAGAUAGAUCAAUAGAACCAAUGAAAAUAUUCAUAAGCAAUCCCAGCUAUUUAGGGCUGAAAGUAUUAAAAGGUGGCAUUUCAAAGUAGUGGGGAAGGAUAUACUAUUCAAUUUGCCCAUGAAGUGUUGGAACAAUCAGCUAUAAAUUACACAAAAAAAUUAAAUUUAGAUCCCUGCAUCACAUUAAUCACAUUUUAAUUUUCAUCAUAUUAAAAGGCUAAAUGUGAAAAAAAAAAAAAACCCUCUGGUAGCAGAGGAGAAAACAGGGGAAAUUGUUUAUAACCUCAGGGAAAGCCAGGAACCUACCUUAAACAGAUAGAAAGCAGAGAAACAAUAAAGGGAAAAUGGAUAAAUGUAACUACAUAAAAACCUGUAAUCUCUACUACAAAUAAGAACCCCAGUCAGGGAGAAAAGAUUUGCCUUCUUUGCACAAAGAACUAUACCCAAAAUUUUAAAACUCCAGACACCUCCCUUCCCUCUACUAUCAUGCCAGUAUGAACAUAGCUCAUAAAUCAGCAAGGAUCUCUUGGAUCUUUCCUUCUCCUAGAUAUCCAUUUUCAGGGAUACAAGGAGACUCAUAUAAACUGUAGACCCCAGAUUACAGGUAAGAACUGGAAAGAAAUCUCAAGAUAGGAUGGGAGUAAUGCAGAAGGCAAUAUAGCUCAGAGAACACAGACAGUACUCUUUCAAAAGUGUGAACACAGGAUCAUGGCAAGGGUUAUACCCCAUUUUUGCCACCAUGGUUGUGAGAUGUACAUCGAGCUGCCAAAAAAAAAAAAAAAAAAAAAGGCCCCAUUGGAUACAGUUUUGUUUCAAAACCCAAUGAGAUUUGGCCACAGAUAAAUCAUUUUCCAAAGCAGAAGGAAAGAAAAGCAACUAGAAUGGAAUUCUGCUCUGGUUUAUCUAAUACCCCACAGGAAACUUGUAAGUAGGUGGUCCCGGAAAGGCCAAUUCAUUCAAAGUUACAUAAAAUACAGGGAACUGGCACAAUAUCAAUGCAAAGAUACAAUAAUAGAAAAUAAAAGGUAUGUUUAAAUCUGUUAUUAACAAAUGAAUAACACUCAGCAGAAGAAAAAAAUGUUGCCAAAGAACAGAAAAAUCUGCACCAGAAUUGUAUGAGAAAUUUAGCACACCUUGAAACGGAACCACAGACAUACAAGCCUUAUACCAUCAGAAAUACUACACAACACACACACACACACACACAACAGAAAUGCAAAGUAGUAGAGACUUCCUAGUAAAAUGCUUUUUAAUAUCGAUAAAGCCAGAAAAUAUAUAAUACUAAAAAACUAAGACCAAACUUCUCUGUCAUUUAAGUAAAUGUAAAUGAGCCAAACCCAACUACUUAAAGAAGAAUUUUUGUCUGGUUCCAAAGCAAAAACAAUUGUAUAUGGAAGAAAAAUCUAAAUGGAACUGAAAAGGUUGAGCAAAACAAAACCAAAGACAGAGAAAAAAAGUGAGAGAGAAAUCAUGAUCUUAUAAAAAGAGCUCAUAAAAUACACAGCCAAAAAUAGCAAGAUCAGACAAACAAAUAGUAAAGCAAAGACAACUAUCACAAAUUCCAAAAGGUACAAUUCAGCAUGAAGACAUGGUUCCAAUAUCAUACAGCAAAAAGUAUAGGAGAUACAAGGAGGAACGGGCAGAAAUAAGCUGAUACUAGAAGAUCCUAAACCAAGUCCAAAGCCUAACGCAAGUAGACAAAACCAAAUCAGUAUUUAAAUGAUUUAAGUAACAUAAUAAGUAAGUUAUAUAAUUUAUAUAGAAAACAGUGAAAAUCCCUUCUAGUUGAGUAGUUACGGGCAAUUCAUAAAAGUUAGCUACAUAUGUGACCCCAAAGACAUUCAUUCAAAAAGCACCAAACUGACAACCACAGUCUGAUAGGCAGAUUUGGAACCGGGGGACCCUCCUCCACUGGUGUCAAGUCCAUGAGUCACAUGGCCAAAGAUUCCAUUAGGUUAUUCAUCAACUGACCUUCAAGUAGGAAGAUCACCUUGGAAUAGCCAAGUGGAGCCCUUGAAAGCAGAGCUUUCUCCCUGUUGAGGAGGUGGGAGUCAGAAAAAGGCAGACAACAUCCCAAAGCACAAGUAAGACAGGAACUUUGCCGGCUCCAAAUGGAGAGGGCCGCAAGGAAAGCCUGAUAAGGAAGUUAAUUCUGCCAAGAAUCACUGAGGUUGGAAGAGGAUCCGGGCUUUCCUCUGGCUGUUUUUUUUGCUUCCAGCUCUGUGAGACCCUGAGUGGAGAGACCAGCACAGUUGCCCUUCAGAACCAAGGUCGCCAAUGCAUGCUGCUUGAUGCUGCUGGACUGGAGGUAGCUUAUUAAACAACAGAAAACCUCAGCUCAAGAAGCAGAGUUAAACCAGAACAUCCAGUGGAACCCCUCAGGUUGGCAGGGGUGAGCAUUUCUCCCAGGCUGGAGCUGCCUCCUUAAUUCCAGAAUUCCACGGUUGUGUGUGUUUUGCAAAGCUGUGCCGUGCUGGACAACAGGGAACAAGCAGCUACCACCUUCCCACCUGCCUGUGAACAGCACCGUGCCAUGACCAUCAGCAGCACACAGGUUCGCCUGACUAGACGUCUUGUUUCCUAGCAUGACGAUCCCAUCCACUGGAGGACACCAGCUGGGCUACAUCUAAAGCUACAACUCCCAGGACGCCUGGUGGCUCAGCCGUUGAGCGUCUGCCUUGGGCUCAGGUCCUGAUGCUGGGGUCCUGGGAUCGAGUCCUGCAUCGAGCUCCCUGCAGGGGGCCUGCUUCUCCCUCUGCC